UACGUAGGGUGCAAGCGUUUAAUCGGAAUUACUGGGCGUAAAGCGUGCGCAGGCGGCUAUGCAAGACAGAUGUGAAAUCCCCGGGCUCAACCUGGGAACUGCAUUUGUGACUGCAUAGCUAGAGUACGGUAGAGGGGGAUGGAAUUCCGCGUGUAGCAGUGAAAUGCGUAGAUAUGCGGAGGAACACCGAUGGCGAAGGCAAUCCCCUGGACCUGUACUGACGCUCAUGCACGAAAGGACGUGGGGAGCAAACGAGG
rnacentral:rRNA from 1 species